rnacentral:lncRNA from 1 species
CAAACAUCAAUUUAAGUAUCCUGUGGAGUAUGGUCUAGUCUGCAGUUUGGUUCCAAUAGUUAUGAUUCUUGCUCUACUGAACAGCAUGAGAAGAAAUACUAUAUACCGUGAAGAACAGGCUAGGAGGCUGGGGGUAUCUUUUAAAGUGAGGUUUUAAACUUGAAGGAUGCGCCCUUGGGCAUCUUACUGCAGAAUCAGAGGGAUUUGACCCGCCUACAUGGGCUGUGACUGUGAGUGUUGCACUCCAUACCGCUCCCUCCCUGCAUGCUCCAGCCUCCUAUCUGUCGUGGCAGUUUUUCUUUACCGCCUAGUCGAGAGGUGUGGAAGUGUUGGAGCACUUGAACAGGACAGAAAAACUGGUUGAAAGAGGUAUUUUUUUGCACAAAAUGGAAAAGGGACUUAGUCUGUAUUUGUUUGGUGUCCUGAACUUAAGAAAGCUCAGUGGUAUUAUGUGAGAGAAGCGGGGAGAGAGUGGAUAAAAAGAAGAAGGAAGAUGGCCAGAGAGGGAACAGCUGAUGCUGUGUGCUAGUCCCUUUUGCGAUGGGACCCAAACUCAGGUGCUUGUUUACUUUCGCCUUCGCACGGGCCCCAGCGGACUCUUCGCACCCAUCCCGCUGCCAAGUGCUGUAGGCGCAGAGAGUAGAAAGACUCCAUUCGGAAGCAUUAAAGAGACAAUCGGUGCUGUUUUGCUAAGAUUCAACCAGUCUGUCCUCCCUGCCAGACUCUGCCCUCCAUCUUUCUGGUGGCUGCAGCCUUCGGUGGAAUGAGAAACGAGAAACAGGACUCCCCUUGCUGCAGAGCCUUGGCUGUCUGGAUCAUCCUGCGGGCUGUCACCGUCGGCAUGUCAGCCAGUCACACAGCUACGAAUAGAGCCGCGUGCUUCUUGCUCACUAACAAUCAGUGGCACCAUAUUUAGCAAGGUGUAGCGUGCCCACCAUUCCCAGGUAUCGCAGCGUACUGUACCGCAUUCAAGCAGCUGCAGCCCAGGCACUAAGUGAAUCGGUUUGCCAAAGGUCUGGAAACCCAAGUGGUUUGUGGACAUCGGGGUCGGCAGUCUGAACGAUGCUGCAUAUACCGGUUGGCAGUGACUCGAAAGCGUCUGUCUGCUUUCGGUCGUAAACAUCUGUCUGCUUUUUAUUCCUUCUUUUUUUUUUAAAUUCUAAAAUAAAAAAUUUGGAAUCUCGUGUAUUUUAAUUAAA